AGGGGCAGCAUUGAGUGUCAUCAGGAAGAGGCAAGGUGAUGGUCCUGAAGCUGCCCCGUGUGGCCAGUCCCUUUUUGGGAAGCCUGAAUAAAUCCAUUUCCUGUGCACUGUGUGGGAAGCCAACCCCUCUUCAGAGCACCUCUGAACUCAAUGGGAUCCUACACUCCUUAUAGGCCUGGCUUGAUGCUGACAUCCUUCAGUCCCAGGGAAGACCUGAAGAUCUCCAGGUCUUGAGGCCCCUGGAACACCUCCAUCUGAGACCACUUUAACAUGAUUUCUAUACUUGAGGGAUUUUGGACCACGCUGCGUGUAUUCAGCCCUAAAACAUGGGUGAGUGCCAGCUUGCAUUUCAGACUCUUAGAGGAAGUUCCCUGUACUCCACCCAGUGCCAAGUUUGAUUUGUGUGAAUUUUCUUAAUGUCCCCUCCUGUACAACAGGUUUAUUUGGUAUUAAUCCUUAUAUCAGGGGUCUAACUCUUUGGUUUUCCAGGGUUUUUUUGCUGGAAUACCGAAUUAAACUGUUCAUGUUGGGUA